AUCUUAAAUCGGAUAAGAGUACCCGCUGAACUUAAGCAUAUCAAUAAGCGGAGGAAAAAAAAAUUAAAAAGGAUUCCCUUAGUAAUAUCAAAUGAAGCCGGAAGAGCUCAAAUUUGAAAUCUUCAAGGUUCUACCCUGAUGAAUUGUAGUUUAAAGGUGUGUUUUCUGUUUAGAGGAGUUGUUAGAGUUCCUUGGAAUGGGACAUCGUAGAAGGUGAGAAUCCCGUGUUUGGCUAUUCUUUCUAGUUCUGUGAUACACUUUCAAAGGGUCGGAUUGUUUGGGAAUACAGUCCAAAAUGGAUGGUAAAUUUCAUCUAAAGCUAAAUAUUGACAAGAGAUUGAUAGCGAACAAGUACUGUGAGGGAGGGAUGAAAAGAGCUUUAAAAAAAAGAGAGUUAAAUAGUACAUGAAA
rnacentral:ncRNA from 1 species